rnacentral:rRNA from 1 species
UCUUUGAAGUUAAAAAUCGUAACAAGGUUUCCGUAGGUGAACCUGCGGAAGGAUCAUUGUCGAUGCCUUACAUGCAGACCAACACGUGAAUCAGUUUGAACACAUAGGGUUGGUUUGAGGUGUUCAACACCUCGGCUUGCCUCUGGUUCGGAGGAGGACGAUGUUGUGCGUUCUCCUUUGUGCCAAAACACAAACCCCGGCGCUGAAUGCGUCAAGGAAUUUAAAAUUUGCUCUGAGCGCACCUGCAUGGCACCGGAGACGGUUUUCGUGCGGGUUGUGUUCUGACACAUAAUAUAGAAUGACUCUCGGCAACGGAUAUCUAGGCUCUUGCAUCGAUGAAGAACGUAGCGAAAUGCGAUACUUGGUGUGAAUUGCAGAAUCCCGUGAACCAUCGAGUCUUUGAACGCAAGUUGCGCCCGAUGCCAUUAGGUUGAGGGCACGUCUGCCUGGGCGUCACAUAUCGAAGCCUCUCGCCAAUUUCCUAUAUUGAUAGGGGUAUUGUGCAGGGCGAAUGUUGGCCUCCCGUGAGCUUUAUUGCCUCAUGGUUGGUUGAAAAUCGAGACCUUGGUAGGGUGUGCCAUGAUAGGUGGUGGCUGUGUUACGCACGAGACCAAGUAAGUCAUGUGCCUGCUCUAUUGAAUUUAGGCCUCUUUUACCCACAUGUGUUUCGAAACGCUCGUGAUGAGACCUCAGGUCAGGCGGGGCUACCCGCUGAAUUUAAGCAUAUCAUAAGCCGAAGGAAA